rnacentral:rRNA from 1 species
GAUGAACGCUGGCGGCGUGCUUAACACAUGCAAGUCGAACGGUAAGGCCCUUCGGGGUACACGAGUGGCGAACGGGUGAGUAACACGUGGGUGAUCUGCCCUGCACUUCGGGAUAAGCCUGGGAAACUGGGUCUAAUACCGGAUAGGACCACUGCCUGCAUGGGUGGUGGUGGAAAGCUUUUGCGGUGUGGGAUGGGCGCGCGGCCUAUCAGCUUGUUGGUGGGGUGAUGGCCUACCAAGGCGACGACGGGUAGCCGGCCUGGGAGGGUGACCGGCCACACUGGGACUGAGAUACGGCCCAGACUCCUACGGGAGGCAGCAGUGGGGAAUAUUGCACAAUGGGCGCAAGCCUGAUGCAGCGACGCCGCGUGAGGGAUGACGGCCUUCGGGUUGUAAACCUCUUUCAGCACCGACGAAGCGCAAGUGACGGUAGGUGCAGAAGAAGGACCGGCCAACUACGUGCCAGCCGCCGCAGUAA